AAUUACAUUUCUUAAAUACCUGAGUCACGGACAUACUCCUGUCUGCUCUCUGCUCAGUUAGGUCUAGACUCCUGGCUGCUGCAUUAGAAGCUAAUGAAAUGAAUUCGGGUGAUAAAUGGCUUCACAGCCUGAGGUAGGUGUAGGGGAGGGAGGAUGGGCCUGCAGCUGUUUCAGUCAAUAGCCAGGAUAUCUUAAAGAUCUCAGAUAGAGCUGUAAGUCAUUCGAGCGUAGGUGCAACUCUAAUUUUAAUUCAAGACAUUUUGAACUAGGGCAAAGAUGCAAGGUGGCCAGAUUUAGCAGUUAAGUUGUCCCACGCAUUAGGUGCACUAUGGGGGACAUCCUUAUAAUAAAAAAAUUACUCAUUGCUUGGAGCUUCCGCUGUGGCGCAGUGGGUUAAAGAUCCGGUGUUGCCGCAGCUCUGGCAUAGGUCACAGCUGCGGCUCGGAUUUGAUCCCUGGCCUGGGAAUUUUCACAGGCUGCAGGUGAGACGGAAAAGGAAACAAAUUACUCAUUGUUUUUCUGAAUUGCCAAUGUAGCUGGGUGGCUUCUAUGUUAUCUGGCAACCCUGCAAAGAAAGGAACUCCCAGAUGAGGGGUCCCAGUAAGACUUCUGCCACUGUCCCCUCUUCUGGGUAGCAGAGCUCUUACACAGUUCCAGAAAUGUUGCCAAGGCCCUCACUGAGAAGCAGCUGGACAAACCUUGAAGUUGAGAAGAGGCAGGAAUGUCAGUGGGCUGAGCAGCUUCCGUAAACAUCUCGGGCUCCACUCCCUGCAUCCGCCCAUUGGCUUUGGGAAGUUCUAGAAUGCCGCCUGGCUUAAGGAGAGGAAUACAAGUUUUGAAAUCAGUCAGACCUGAGUUCAGAGCCCUUCCGUCAACUGCAGAGCUUUUGAAUUUGGCUCAACGAGGAGCCACUCUGGACUCAGAAGACUGACUUAUGGAGGCUCAAUACACCAAAGGUGAGUUCAGACUGCUGCAGACCUGGCAGAAUUUUUGACCCGUGUUUUCAGAACUUGCUCGUCGCGACUAUUGAAACGUGCUCUCCCCUUUUCUCGCCUCUCCCCUCCCUUCUUCUCUCUUACAUCACUCCUUAAACAUCUUCCCUUUCUUUUUCUAUAUUGCUGGCAUGGGUAGGAAGCUGUCAGUGAAUGUUGCUGAAAAAAAUCGAAACAAGGGAUCUGAUUUGACUUGUUUAGACCUGAGGUAGAACCGGCUGCUAUACUUGUCUUUUCCUUAGCUGGAACUUAGGAUAGAAAGCCUCUAGGAACUAUGGCAUUUGUUCCCCUCCAUCUCAGUCUUUUAGGCUUUUCAAAAGAUCCUGUUCUAAAGUGAGUGAUGGAGCGAAUGAAUGGCAAGAGUCAGCCCCCUUUGGUUUGUAAACUCAAACCAAACCUUGAGCAAAGGAAGAGACUGUUAUCAAAGGAAGCCUAGCCGAGAAGCAUGGGCCCAGAUGAUGCAGGGUUAAGGGAGAGACAGGGCCACAAAGGCUGACAGUGAAAACAGAAAAAUGGCUUUUCCUUCCCAGUUGUCCACUCCUAGUGGCCUUUUGUAGCUUUAUGUCCCAUCACCCGGCAGUUGGCCACUGUCUGGUCUAGGAGAGACAAGGCAUUAUACUCCAGCAUUAGCAGGAAAUUAAAAUCAUUCAUUGAUCUUAGCACUUCAGCUGCAAGAGAUAGGCCUAAAAGCAGGUGCUUCUCCUAGAAAGUACUGAGGAGUUACUGCUGACUCACAGACAGGGCAGGAUUUUAUGACCACGCAAGUGAAAUGGAGCUGGUUUAACUAUUACUAAUUUAAAGCAUCUCAGUUGUGGCUGGGAUUUAACUGUGGCUGGUAGAGGCUGUGCGUUGCUUCGUUGGGGCCUCUGCAGAGACCUCUGGUGUGCUUUGAUGUUUUAAUUCUAGAUCUAAGCCUUCACGGGCAGAGGUGGCUUUCUC
rnacentral:lncRNA from 1 species